GACGAACGCUGGCGGCGUGCUUAACACAUGCAAGUCGAACGGAAAGGCCCUGCUUUUGUGGGGUGCUCGAGUGGCGAACGGGUAAGUAACACGUGAUUAACCUGCCCUUGACUUUGGGAUAACUUCAGGAAACUGGGGCUAAUACCGGAUAGGAGCUCCUGCUGCAUGGUGGGGGUUGGAAAGUUUCGGCGGUUGGGGAUGGACUCGCGGCUUAUCAGCUUGUUGGUGGGGUAGUGGCUUACCAAGGCUUUGACGGGUAGCCGGCCUGAGAGGGUGACCGGCCACAUUGGGACUGAGAUACGGCCCAGACUCCUACGGGAGGCAGCAGUGGGGAAUAUUGCACAAUGGGCGGAAGCCUGAUGCAGCAACGCCGCGUGCGGGAUGACGGCCUUCGGGUUGUAAACCGCUUUCGCCUGUGACGAAGCGUGAGUGACGGUAAUGGGUAAAGAAGCACCGGCUAACUACGUG
rnacentral:rRNA from 1 species